AAGAUUUUAAGUUAAGUAAACUCUUAAUUUUCAAAAUUAAAUAUAAAGAAAUUUCUUUAAAUCUUA
rnacentral:tRNA from 1 species